AUGGCAAUGGUGACGGUGGCGCACUUCUUGCUCCCGAUUCUUCUAUUUGCCGUCGUGAGCUCGGCUGUGGCAGCGACGGAGCAAAAGGAGACCGAGGCGGCGGCGCUGCGGGAGUUCAAGCGCGCGCUGGUGGACGUCGACGUGCGCCUUUCGAGCUGGGACGACGCGGCGAGCCCGUGCGGGUGGGCCGGCAUUGCCUGCUCCGUCGCACGUGAGGUGACCGGCGUCACGCUCCACGGGCUCGGCCUCGGUGGAGCGCUCUCCCCCGCCGUCUGCGCGCUCCCGCGGCUCGCCGUGCUCAACGUGUCCAAGAACGCGCUGUCCGGCCCCGUCCCCGCAGGGCUCGCCGCGUGCCGCGCGCUGGAGGUGCUCGACCUCAGCACCAACUCCCUCCACGGCGCCGUCCCGCCAGAGCUCUGCGCGCUCCCGUCCCUCCGCCGGCUCUUCCUCAGCGAGAACCUGCUCACCGGCGAGAUCCCCGCCUACAUCGGCAACCUCACCGCCCUGGAGGAGCUCGUCAUCUACACCAACAACCUCACCGGCGGGAUCCCCGCGUCCGUCCGCACGCUGCAGCGGCUCCGUGUGGUCCGCGCGGGUCUCAACGACCUUUCCGGCCCGAUCCCGGUCGAGAUUAGCGAGUGCAGCAGCCUGGAGGUGCUCGGGCUCGCGCAGAACAGCCUCGCCGGGACGCUGCCCCGCGAGCUCUCCCGGCUCAAGAACCUCACCACGUUGAUCCUGUGGCAGAACGCCUUGACCGGCGAGAUCCCACCGGAGCUGGGGAACUGCACGAACCUGGAGAUGCUGGCGUUGAACGACAACGCCUUCACCGGCGGCGUGCCGAGGGAGCUCGGGGCGCUGCCCAUGCUCGUAAAGCUCUACAUUUACCGGAACCACCUGGACGGCACCAUCCCAAAGGAGCUCGGGAACCUGCAGAGCGCCGUGGAGAUUGACCUGUCAGAGAACAAGCUGACAGGAGCCAUCCCGAGCGAGCUCGGCAAGAUACAGACGCUACGGCUGCUCCACCUCUUCGAGAACCGCCUGCAAGGCAGCAUCCCGCGGGAGCUGGGCAAGCUGGGUGUCAUAAGGAGAAUAGACCUGUCCAUCAACAACCUCACCGGCGCAAUUCCGAUGGAGUUUCAGAACCUGCCCUGCUUGGAGUACCUGCAGCUGUUCGACAACCAGAUCCAUGGUGCCAUCCCUCCUUUGCUAGGGGCGAGAAGCACACUGUCGGUGCUGGAUUUGUCGGACAACCGGUUGACGGGCAGCAUCCCGCCGCACCUGUGCAGGCACCAGAAGCUCAUCUUCUUGAGCCUGGGGUCAAACCGUCUCAUCGGCAACAUCCCUCCGGGAGUGAAGGCUUGCAAGACCCUGACCCAACUCCGGCUGGGGGGUAACAUGCUGACGGGGAGCCUGCCCGUGGAGCUGUCGGCGAUGCAGAACCUGUCGGCGCUUGAGAUGAACCAGAACCGCUUCUCAGGCCCGAUACCGCCUGAGGUCGGCAAGUUCAGGAGCAUAGAGAGGCUCAUUCUGUCGGGGAAUUACUUCGUCGGACAGGUCCCCGCUGGCAUUGGCAACCUCACGGAGCUUGUCGCCUUCAAUAUAUCAUCCAACCAGCUCACCGGACCCAUUCCUCGGGAGUUGGCAAGGUGCACAAAGCUACAGAGGCUUGAUCUCAGCAGAAACUCCUUCGCCGGCCUCAUUCCUAAGGAGAUCGGCACACUGGUGAACCUGGAGCAGCUCAAGCUAUCAGACAACAGUCUGAAUGGCACCAUUCCUGCAAGUUUUGGAGGCCUUUCCCGGCUCACGGAGCUGCAGAUGGGAGGCAACCGUCUGUCCGGCUCUGUGCCGGUUGAGCUUGGCAAACUCAAUGCCCUCCAGAUUGCUCUAAAUCUCAGCUACAACAUGCUAUCCGGUGAGAUCCCAGCUCAGCUAGGGAACUUGCGGAUGCUGGAAUACCUCUACUUGAACAACAAUGAGCUUCAAGGAGAGGUUCCUUCCUCCUUCACUGAACUCUCAAGCCUCAUGGAGUGCAACCUUUCCUACAAUAAUCUUGUUGGGUCGCUUCCCAGCACCCUGCUGUUCCAGCACCUGGACAGCAGCAACUUCCUUGGGAACAAUGGCCUCUGCGGUAUCAAAGGAAAAGCUUGUUCACAUGCAGCCUACGCAAGCAAUGAAGCAGCAGCACGCAACAAGCGGUUUCUUAGAGAGAAGAUCAUCAGCGUUGCCUCUAUCAUCGUCAUAUUGGUUUCAUUGGUGCUGAUUGCACUUGUCUGCUGGCUCUUAAAAUCCAACAUGCCCAAGCUUGUAUCAACUGAAGAGCGCAAGACUGGGUUUUCUGGUCCUCACUACUUUCUUAAGGAGCGGAUAACCUAUCAGGAGCUUUUGAAAGCCACCGGGAGCUUCUCGGAGAGUGCUGUGAUUGGAAGGGGUGCUUCUGGCACAGUCUACAAGGCUGUCAUGCCUGAUGGCCGACGAGUUGCAGUGAAAAAGCUCAGAUGUCAAGGAGAAGGUUCCAGUGUCGACAGAAGCUUCCGAGCCGAGAUAACUACCCUUGGAAAUGUCAGGCACCGCAACAUCGUCAAACUCUAUGGUUUCUGUUCCAACCAGGACUCCAAUCUUAUACUGUAUGAGUACAUGGAAAAUGGUAGCCUUGGAGAGUUGCUUCAUGGCACCAAGGACGCAUACCUCCUGGACUGGGACACACGGUACCGGAUCGCCUUCGGGGCUGCUGAAGGCCUACGCUACCUUCACAGCGAUUGCAAGCCAAAGGUGAUUCACCGUGACAUUAAAUCCAAUAACAUACUGCUCGAUGAGAUGAUGGAGGCUCAUGUGGGAGACUUUGGUUUGGCAAAAAUCAUCGACAUUUCCAACAGCAGGACCAUGUCCGCUGUAGCCGGUUCAUACGGUUACAUUGCCCCAGAGUAUGCUUUCACCAUGAAGGUGACUGAAAAGUGUGAUAUUUAUAGUUUCGGGGUGGUUUUGUUGGAACUAGUGACUGGGCAAUGUGCAAUUCAGCCUCUUGAGAAAGGAGGAGAUCUUGUCAAUUUGGUGAGGCGGACAAUGAACAGCAUGACACCAAAUUCUCAAGUUUUUGACAGCAGACUCGAUCUCAACUCAAAGAGGGUUGUGGAAGAAAUGAAUCUGGUGAUGAAGAUUGCAUUGUUCUGCACCAGUGAAUCACCAUUGGAUAGGCCUAGCAUGCGAGAAGUGAUAUCAAUGUUGAUUGAUGCUAGGGCCUCUUCUUGUGAUUCAUUCUCAUCUCCAGCAUCAGAGUCACCUAUUAAAGAUGAUUCUUCCUUUAGGCUUUAG
rnacentral:rRNA from 1 species